CAGUAGUUUAUAAACCCUACUCUUUAUAGCACUUUAAUCAAGUGGUUGAUAGCAUGUUAAACUCGUUUGGUUUAUGAUACUAUUGAGUUAGAUCUGUGUUAACACGUGUUGCUGAACGGCUGCGCUAUCUUUGCACACAGGGAGUUGAGUAAACAGGCACCUAGGAUGUCGAAACAAUUACCGGAAGCGGAAAUGGAGCGUCUGAAGAAGCAGCUGGGCUUGGUUCCCCACCCCUCGGGAUACGGCGCAUUCCGGGAGAUGUUUAAAGGGGACAGGGAGGUGGUGUUUACUUCACUGACAAGUUUUGUUCUCUACACGGGUGAACCAAAUAACUUCUCCGUCCCCAGCCAUGACGGACCUCGCUCCACGGCGACCAGUAUAUACUUCCUGUUGACACAGCCUCACUGCGUCACGUGGCACAAACACCUGUCAGACGAGGGAUUCUACUGGCAUGCUGGUGGAAAGGUCAAGGUACGGAUGUUGACGGACGGCGGGAAACUGUCGAGUGUCACACUGGGGGACGUUGUGCGCCAUGAAGACUGUAUGGGGCAGGCGAUUGUGCCGCAUGAAACGUGGUACUGCGCCGAACUACAGGAAGGGGCGGCCUACGCGCUCUACAGCGCCGUGGUGACGCCGGGUUUUGAGUUUCGAGACUGGAUCGCAGGAGAAAGGGAGGCCAUGUUGAAAGCCUUUCCUCAACAUCAUGACGUAAUUAUACAGUUCACCUGACGUCAUUCAAAAAGUCAAGCAACGUUUACAUGACGUCAACACAAACUUAAUGGAACGUCAUCAUGCGAGAUCUUUACAUUGAUUUGAUUUUAUUAAAAUUGGACUUCCAAGGACGGUCUGAACGUCAGUGAGAAACUGUUACACAAACCAUUUGAAUAUAGGAAUACAAAAAUUCGUGAAGCAAAACCACGAGAGACAUUAUUACAAACAAUCCAAGGAAUGUUUAUUUGCACACAUCCGCUAGUUGUUCAUUGAAGGGGAGAGCCUACACUUAAACAUAAAACUGAAGACCUGAUAUUCCUUGGUAUAUCCAUGCAAAGUGAAUGAACUGGAAAGCUCUUUUCUAUUUUAUGCAAUAUAUGUAUGCCUGAUAAAGGUAAUAGGCCUUAUUAAAAUGCAGUGCUUGUUGUUUGUUGUCUUUACAUGCUUUGAGAAUAACUAAAAUACUUUAUGUUUCA